rnacentral:lncRNA from 1 species
UUUUGGGAGAUGCUAUUGAUGGAGUAUUUUUCCGAGAGUGACAAGCGGAAGAUCAAAGAAGAUUUUCGAAAGUUGAGGCAAGGUAGUCGAACGUGUUAAGGAUUUUAUAGGUUGGCGAAUUUCGUAAAGUUGUUUGGAGUCUUGAAGAGUUGAUCGCAGAAGUUUUGAAGAAGAGAUUCAAAUUGGAGAACGAAGACUCAUUCGGAAAGCUCGACACCUAAGGUAUAAAGAAAAGAUCAUUUGUGGUGAAAAUAUCU